rnacentral:tRNA from 1 species
GCUGAUAAACUAAUUAGUUAGGGCUGCAGUACGGUUGUAGUUUUGAGAUUUCUCUAUUAGUU